rnacentral:rRNA from 1 species
UACGUAGGGAGCAAGCGUUGUCCGGAAUCAUUGGGCGUAAAGCGCGCGUAGGCGGCCCUGUAAGUCCGUUGUGAAAGUCAAAGGCUCAACCUUUGAAAGCCGAUGGAUACUGUAGGGCUAGAGUCCGGAAGAGGCGAGUGGAAUUCCUGGUGUAGCGGUGGAAUGCGCAGAUAUCAGGAAGAACACCCGUGGCGAAGGCGGCUCUCUGGGACGGUACUGACGCUGAGACGCGAAAGCGUGGGGAGCGAACAGG